rnacentral:tRNA from 4 species
GCCGGAGUGGCGGAAUUGGCAGACGCAAGGGACUUAAAAUCCCUCGAUCGUUCACGAUCGUACCGGUUCGACCCCGGUCUCCGGCACCA